UACAUGGGGUGCAAACGUUGCUCGGAAUUAUUGGGCGUAGAGCGCGCGUAGGCGGUUACUCAAGUCGGAUGUGAAAGCCCUCGGCUUAACUGAGGAAGUGCACCCGAAACUGAGUAGCUAGAGUACUAAAGAGGGUCGCGGAAUUCCCGGUGUAGAGGUGAAAUUCGUAGAUAUCGGGAGGAACACCGGUGGCGAAGGCGGCGACCUGGGUAGAUACUGACGCUGAGGCGCGAAAGCGUGGGGAGCAAACAGG
rnacentral:rRNA from 1 species